rnacentral:rRNA from 1 species
GUGUGUUCCAGGUAAAUACCGGUUCACUUUAACACUGAGGCGUGACGACGAGGCACUACGGUGCUGAAGCAACAAAUGACCCUGCUUCCAGGAAAAGCCUCUAAGCAUCAGGUAACAUCAAAUCGUACCCCAAACCGACACAGGUGGUCAGGUAGAGAAUACCAAGGCGCUUGAGAGAACUCGGGUGAAGGAACUAGGCAAAAUGGUGCCGUAACUUCGGGAGAAGGCACGCUGACACGUAGGUGAAGUGAUUUACUCACGGAGCUGAAGUCAGUCGAAGAUACCAGCUGGCUGCAACUGUUUAUUAAAAACACAGCACUGUGCAAACACGAAAGUGGACGUAUACGGUGUGACGCCUGCCCGGUGCCGGAAGGUUAAUUGAUGGGGUCAGCGCAAGCGAAGCUCCUGAUCGAAGCCCCGGUAAACGGCGGCCGUAACUAUAACGGUCCUAAGGUAGCGAAAUUCCUUGUCGGGUAAGUUCCGACCUGCACGAAUGGCGUAAUGAUGGCCAGGCUGUCUCCACCCGAGACUCAGUGAAAUUGAACUCGCUGUGAAGAUGCAGUGUACCCGCGGCAAGACGGAAAGACCCCGUGAACCUUUACUAUAGCUUGACACUGAACAUUGAGCCUUGAUGUGUAGGAUAGGUGGGAGGCUUUGAAGUGUGGACGCCAGUCUGCAUGGAGCCGACCUUGAAAUACCACCCUUUAAUGUUUGAUGUUCUAACGUGGACCCGUAAUCCGGGUUGCGGACAGUGUCUGGUGGGUAGUUUGACUGGGGCGGUCUCCUCCUAAAGAGUAACGGAGGAGCACGAAGGUUGGCUAAUCCUGGUCGGACAUCAGGAGGUUAGUGCAAUGGCAUAAGCCAGCUUGACUGCGAGCGUGACGGCGCGAGCAGGUGCGAAAGCAGGUCAUAGUGAUCCGGUGGUUCUGAAUGGAAGGGCCAUCGCUCAACGGAUAAAAGGUACUCCGGGGAUAACAGGCUGAUACCGCCCAAGAGUUCAUAUCGACGGCGGUGUUUGGCACCUCGAUGUCGGCUCAUCACAUCCUGGGGCUGAAGUAGGUCCCAAGGGUAUGGCUGUUCGCCAUUUAAAGUGGUACGCGAGCUGGGUUUAGAACGUCGUGAGACAGUUCGGUCCCUAUCUGCCGUGGGCGCUGGAGAACUGAGGGGGGCUGCUCCUAGUACGAGAGGACCGGAGUGGACGCAUCACUGGUGUUCGGGUUGUCAUGCCAAUGGCACUGCCCGGUAGCUAAAUGCGGAAGAGAUAAGUGCUGAAAGCAUCUAAGCACGAAACUUGCCCCGAGAUGAGUUCUCCCUGAGACUUAGAGUCUCCUGAAGGAACGUUGAAGACGACGACGUUGAUAGGCCGGGUGUGUAAGCGCAGCGAUGCGUUGAGCUAACCGGUACUAAUGAACCGUGAGGCUUAACCUUACAACGCCGAAG